UACGUAGGUGACAAGCGUUGUCCGGAUUUACUGGGCGUAAAGAGCGCGCAGGCGGUCGUUCAAGUCGAGUGUGAAAGCCCCCGGCUCAACUGGGGAGGGUCACUCGAUACUGAUCGACUCGAAGGCAGGAGAGGGUAGUGGAAUUCCCGGUGUAGUGGUGAAAUGCGUAGAUAUCGGGAGGAACACCAGUGGCGAAGGCGACUACCUGCCUGUUCUUGACGCUGAGGCGCGAAAGCUAGGGGAGCAACGGGGAUUAAGAAACCCU
rnacentral:rRNA from 1 species